CCCGCCCGGACGAGAACCCUUCGCCAGUCGUCGGGCUUUAGCAGAUCGGUGGGGUUUUCGUUCGAGUGGG
ncrna:Branchiostoma floridae (Florida lancelet) microRNA bfl-mir-278 precursor